UUUGUUUGCGCAGGAUAGGUGGGAGGCGUUGAAAGUUUUCUUGCGGGGAGACUGGAGCCGUUGGUGAGAUACCACUCUAACAAUGCUAGGAUUCUAACCCUAUACCGUUAUCCGGUUAGGGGACAGUUUCAGGUGGUCAGUUUGACUGGGGCGGUCGCCUCCCAAAAGGUAACGGAGGCGUGCAAAGGUUUCCUCAGGCUGGUCGGAAAUCAGUCGUAGAGUGUAAAGGCAUAAGGAAGCUUGAUUGUGAGACUUACAAGUCGAACAAAGACGAAAGUCGGCCUUAGUGAUCCGACGGUUCCGAGUGGAAGGGCCGUCGCUCAACGGAUAAAAGUUACUCUAGGGAUAACAGGCUGA
rnacentral:rRNA from 1 species